CCUACGGGAGGCAGCAGUAGGGAAUCUUCCGCAAUGGACGAAAGUCUGACGGAGCAACGCCGCGUGAGUGACGAAGGUUUUCGGAUCGUAAAACUCUGUUGUGAGGGAAGAACAAGUACCACUUAACUACUGGUACCUUGACGGUACCUCGCCAGAAAGCCACGGCUAACUACGUGCCAGCAGCCGCGGUAAUACGUAGGUGGCAAGCGUUGUCCGGAAUUAUUGGGCGUAAAGCGCGCGCAGGCGGUCCCUUAAGUCUGAUGUGAAAGCCCACGGCUCAACCGUGGAGGGUCAUUGGAAACUGGGGGACUUGAGUGCAGAAGAGGAAAGUGGAAUUCCACGUGUAGCGGUGAAAUGCGUAGAGAUGUGGAGGAACACCAGUGGCGAAGGCGACUUUCUGGUCUGUAACUGACGCUGAGGCGCGAAAGCGUGGGGAGCAAACAGGAUUAGAUACCCGGUAGUCCACGCCGUAAACGAUGAGUGUCUAAGUGUUAGGGGGUUUCCGCCCCUUAGUGCUGCAGCUAACGCAUUAAGCACUCCGCCUGGGGAGUACGGCCGCAAGGCUGAAACUCAAAUGAAUUGACGGGG
rnacentral:rRNA from 1 species